rnacentral:rRNA from 1 species
GACGUAGGGCGCGAGCGUUGUCCGGAUUUAUUGGGCGUAAAGAGCUCGUAGGCGGCUUGUCGCGUCGAAUGUGAAAUCCUGCGGCUCAACUGCAGGCUUGCAUUCGAUACGGGCAGGCUCGAGUUCGGUAGGGGAGACUGGAAUUCCUGGUGUAGCGGUGAAAUGCGCAGAUAUCAGGAGGAACACCGGUGGCGAAGGCGGGUCUCUGGGCCGAUACUGACGCUGAGGAGCGAAAGCGUGGGGGAGCGAACAGG